rnacentral:rRNA from 1 species
UCUUCCGCAAUGGACGAAAGUCUGACGGAGCAACGCCGCGUGAGGGAUUAAGGUUUUCGGAUCGUAAAACUCUGUUGUUAGGGAAGAACAAGUACCGUUCGAAUAGUGCGGUACCUUGACGGUACCUAACCAGAAAGCCACGGCUAACUACGCUCCAGCAGCGGCGGUAAUACGUAGGUGGCAAGCGUUGUCCGGAAUUAUUGGGCGUAAAGCGCGCGCAGGCGGUUUCUUAAGUCUGAUGGGAAAGCCCCCGGCUCAACCGGGGAGGGUCAGUGGAAACUGGGGAACUUGAGUGCAGAAGAGGAGAGUGGAAUUCCACGUGUAGCGGUGAAAUGCGUAGAGAUGUGGAGGAACACCAGUGGCGAAGGCGACUCUCUGGUCUGUAACUGACGCUGAGGCGCGAAAGCGUGGGGAGCGAACAG